CCUGCGUCCGCUGGCCGCGGUGCCUGCGCGCCGCUGCGCCCCUGCGGCGGUGCGGCGCGUCCGGCGGAGCGGUGCGGCGCGACUAGCAGCGCCGAGCGGGAGGAAACGUUACGAUUUUUUAUCUUUACACAAAGAGCGCCCUUCUGGCAGACAGCAUCCCGCGGCGUUGCCACCGGCGCUGCGCCCGGGCCCUGGCUUUGCUCCUCUGCGGCCGCGUUUCCCCCCGGGAAGGUGGCGGGGGGCUCGGACUCCGGCCCCGGCCGUCGCUCGGCCAGGCUUUUGGGGCGUUUGGUCUCGGCAGCCGUCUCCUGCUGGAGGAGGAAACACGAGGGAGCGUGGGCUGGCAGGUGCCUGGGAGGCCGGGGUCUCGUCUCUCCUCCCAAAAGAGCAGUCCCCGGCACCGGUCAGCCGCCGCUCGCAGCUGGAGAACAAAGUACGGCCGGGGCGAUCGGCAGGAGAAAUGAGCAGGGCAAGGUUUUGUCUUGCGUUGGGUUUCGUUGCAAUGCAAGCCGGUGCUUUUUUCCUCCAGGCAAACGGGUAUGUGACUCAAAUAUGUCUUUGCUCUCCUACCUGCAUCUCCUCUAGUUCUGUUAAUGAAAGGAUACAGCGUCAUACAGACUCGCUAGGCAUUUUCAUAUGACCCCUGCUGAAGACUUAGUAAGAUCCUCUGUACUGCAAAAUACCAUUUGCAUUGUGGGGGCAGACUGGCGCGGAAAAGGAGAUUUUGGGCCAUCUGUGUUCCGCCGAAGUCCCACGGUGCUAGCCUUGCACUGGGAACAGCAGAGGUGGACCAAAGAAGACCAAACGGUCCCCACAGCCUUGCUCUCCCAGGCUUUCCCAGACACGAGGCCCUACCGUCCUACACCACAAACUAGGAUGGCAGUCACUGGGCGACACACCUUUGCAGCCCAUCACCUCUGUGUAGGCUGCCAGGGGAUCAAAUUCUGUCACAGCAGCCUCCCGGGAGGUCUCUAGGAAAGGCGAAUUUCUUUGGCUGGUUCAUGCAAAAGCACAGAGCUGCACCCCUUCUGCACACCCCUUGCUGGCAGUACAAUAUGCCAAAUACAGCAUGCCACAGUCACACAAGCAAUUUUCCCCGACUCCAGUGCACUCUGUGAUUUUCCAGUAUCCAAGCUGAUCUGCAAAGUUUCUCCUGUACUGCAGCUUCGGAUUCGUAGGCAUCCUUUGCUGAAGGCAGCUAGCAUUCGGUCAGACUCCGCGAGGGACCACAAACACAGGUGGCUCUGGCCGCAUUAAGGAACAAAGCAAAACAUUUCUCACCAGCUCAGCCACUUGUUCGGUUGCAGUGAGGAUGCCUCGAUGCAGAUUAGGAACCGGCAGUCACACCGGUGAAAUAUAAGUAGUGGCUGGAGCCUCAUCUGUGCUAAGGAUCCUGCCAGCACAGCUGUACCACUGACAGCAGUGGAAUAUUUUGCUCAAGUUCUCUAGAGGAAUCAAAGCCUGUAUUUUCUGUCUCUGGCUCUCCCUUGUUCUGUUGCUCCUCACUCAUUAAAAGAAAAGUCAGCCACACAAAGCACAUGGUUGCUCUCUGUGUUUAAAAAAAAAAUAUGUUUGGGGUAAAAAACCAACAGCCAAAGCUGUUUUGAAGUCAGAGGCAUGUAAACAGUACCUGGAACUAAGUGGAAUAAUAAUAAUAAUAAUUAGUCCUUUUGUGUCAUAAAUAUGUGCAUCGCUGUCUGCUGUUUCAUUAUGAGACAGCACAACUUCUGAGAAUGUGCCUGAUUAAUAUUUGGGGGAACUCUGCCUUCAGCAGCAGCAGCAUACGGCAGCUCUAGUGCCUCCGGCUCCCCCGGCUCUCUUAUGUAACCGAAAUCACAAGUUAGAGCCCAAAUUACAAAGCCUAAGCAUGUGUAUAAUAUUAAGCAUAUAAAUGGUGCCUGAAAUUACUAUCCUUUUUCCUGUAGGUCUGGCUUUAAUCUAUUAGUAUUUUUAUUUCUGCAGUUCUAUUGAUUUCAAUGUGCACUGGUGCCAUUCAUAGCGUAAUCAAGCCUAACCCCUUAAAAACCCCACCAUGAAGGCAUUAACCCAAACUUAACUAAGACAGGCCAAAAUCACUCCAGCUACAGGUAGAUGUAGUUCAAAUUACUUGUAUAUCAGAUCUAGAGCGUAUCCAGCAUUAAGACGCCACAGAAAGCAGAAUAUCGUAUCCCUGUGGCUGCUUUGCAGACCAGGCAGAGCGGCAGGUUUUUGCACCCCAGCCCAAGACACGGGUUAGCAAUCACCUUCCUUUGCAUUUUCCCUCUUAGAGACUGUUCUCGCCAUUAACAUGCUGAGCUGCUUUCUGGAGUUUCAAGGUGCUGGGUGCUGAUACAGUGAGCACCUCUUGUAUCUGUUUAAUCCAAUAACAUAACUCUUUUUUAAUCUCCACGUCUGGGUCACAGGGUUUUAAAAAGACACUGGGCCAAAUCCCCAGCUUGGCUACAACGCGUGGAAAUCUACCAAGAAGGCACGAACGUCAGAAGAGAUUCACUGUAUUUGCACCCUGUAAAAGAGGUCUUGAGGGGCAGGGAUGCGAGAGCCUAAUUUCGCAGAUGGAUGCAUAUUAACGCAAGUGUAUGGCAGAGUUAGAUCAGAUUUCUAUCAGGGGAGGUGGAGGGAGGGAGGGAGGGAUAUCACACCGGGAUCUAAAAUAUGCUCAUCAGCAAAUUCUCAUUCAUUUGAAAAUAAAAAUUGAUUUAAUAUUUCUUCCUUUUCAGGAGAAAAACUUGAUUCUUUUCAAUGUGUGGCUGCUAAAGGGAACAUGAUGUUUCAUGGACUCAGGACCAAGGCAGGGCAAGAACAAGGAGGAGGUUUUGCAGGAACUGGGAAGAUUUUACAUAUCAACAUUAAAAUAAAAAAGGCAAAACUUAUCCAGGCACAACGUCCAGCAGAAAUCUAGGCAACAAGUCGACAGCACUGUCUGUGAAGAUGGGUAUAAGCAAGAAUGGCAAAAAGAUGGUCUGAAUAAGUGCAUCGCAUUAACGAUUCUUCGAACACAAAUCUCCUAUACAAAGAUUUAUGGGGGCAACCUUCGGGGUUCCCCUGUAUAGCAAAGGAUCCCGAGCUUGAAAAAGGGAGGCAGAUUUUGUAAGGGAUUUGAACAUCAUGCAGUGACUCUGGAUUGCAGAUUUUAAGCAUUACUAAAUCGGGGAAUAAAAUUGUUGCUAUUGCUAUUACAUACCAGGAUAUCUCACUAAUCCACACAAUCCACUAAGUUGCUGUAGUUUUAGUCCGUGUUUAUUUUAGAUGAAAUUAUGGCCUGGACAGUUAAUUUUUCUUAGUUUAUCCAUUUAAAUCAUGUAAUCAAACAGAAAAGAAAAUGUGACCUGUGGUUUUUGGUACACUCCCCAUCAAGUGAACCUGCCGGUGAUGGAGCCCCACACCCAGUUUAUAAGAAGUUAAACACUGUGGCAAAUAAAAACCCCAGGUCUUCUUGAAAAGUAGCCCCAUUGCAUUAAAUUCUCUGAUUUUAAUGCUAUCGGUGGCCUAUUUUGCUUAUAUUUCAGACUGCCUAGCCAUUAUGGGAUUGCCUCCACUGGUCCUUUCCUUACAUCAAGCUAAUUACAUAUUAACUUGAGGCACUUAGCAAGCCUGAAAGGAUGGAGCGGGUCCUUUCCAAACACCAGUUGAGUUUAGAAAUGCCUGUUCCUUUACAGGGGCUGAUUCCUAAAGUGAGGGGCAAACCCAGAGGAACCAAGGUGGUCAUGCUGGCUUUUGGAGAAAAUGAAGCGUCUCAAGUUAAUUGACAGUCAGCUACCUGGACAUAAAAAACUCUCAUAUAUCCAAAGGUUUUCACCGGGAUUUUCGAGAGCUCCUGAGCAAUUUAAAGUCCUUGAAAGGAAUGCACUAUAGAAUGAAAAAUAUAGGUAUUAUUAAAGAAAGUCUCCAAACUGAAAGCCAGCCAGUUUCAUAAAAAUGAGCUAAAAACCAAUAACACAUACUCUGUCUCCUGCUGGAUGCUGUAUGAACCGUAUGUUUUGCAUUUUUGAAGUCACUUCCAAAACAAUGUUUUUUUCUUCACUGUUGCUAUUGGGAAGAACAGUAAAAGAACUAUGCAUAAAUGAGGUUAAAGUAAUCUAAUUAAAAAAAUAAACAACGUGCUUUCAUCUUCAA